rnacentral:rRNA from 1 species
AAGGCGAUGAUCAGUAGCCGGUCUGAGAGGAUGAACGGCCACAUUGGGACUGAGACACGGCCCAGACUCCUACGGGAGGCAGCAGUGGGGAAUCUUCCGCAAUGGACGAAAGUCUGACGGAGCAACGCCGCGUGAGUGAAGAAGGUCUUCGGAUUGUAAAACUCUGUUAUACGGGACGAAAAAGACGGAUGCCAACAGUAUCCGCCGUGACGGUACCGUAAGAGAAAGCCACGGCUAACUACGUGCCAGCAGCCGCGGUAAAU